rnacentral:rRNA from 1 species
AUGGGCUGCGUCGCGUCCAAGAAGGCCGUCGUCUCUGUCACUCCGGCGGUCGACUCGUCCGGCGUGUUCCGUGACCGCGCGCCGGAGCCCGCUGCCGUCUCCGCCUCUUCCCUGCGCAGCUCGGCUGCUGCAGCAGCGGCGGCGAGGUCGGUGGAAAAGAAGGACGACGAGGAGGAGCCGGGGAAGGCUGUGGUCGCCGUGGCGGCCGCGUCCCGGAGCUUCCGGCUGCGGAACCUCCGAAGGAGCCUUGAGGGGGAGCAGGUGGCCGCCGGGUGGCCGUCCUGGCUUAGCGCCGUUGCCGGGGAGGCCAUCCAAGGCUGGAUCCCUCUCAAAGCCGACUCCUUUGAGAAGCUUGAGAAGGUUGGGCAAGGCACAUACAGCAGUGUAUUUAGGGCGCGGGAUCUUGAUACUGGAAAGAUUGUCGCACUGAAGAAGGUGCGAUUCGACAAUUUCGAGCCAGAGAGUGUCAGAUUCAUGGCAAGGGAGAUACAAAUACUGAGAAGGCUCGAUCAUCCAAAUGUCAUGAAACUGGAAGGCUUGAUUACUUCUCGGUUAUCAUGCAGCCUUUAUCUAGUGUUUGAAUACAUGGAGCACGAUCUUGCUGGACUUUGUUCCUCCCCUGACAUCAAGUUCACUGAAGCACAGGUUAAGUGCUACAUGAACCAGUUACUGUCAGCACUUGAGCAUUGUCAUUCACGCCGCAUUGUUCACCGUGACAUCAAGGGUGCUAAUCUCCUCGUGAAUAACAAAGGAGUUCUAAAAAUUGCUGAUUUUGGGCUUGCUAAUUACUUUGACCCAAGUAAAAACCAUCCUCUGACCAGCCGGGUUGUUACACUGUGGUACCGACCACCUGAACUAUUGCUAGGGUCAACUCACUAUGAUUCAGCUGUUGAUUUGUGGAGUGUUGGGUGCGUAUUUGCCGAGUUCUUUCGUGGAAGACCUAUCUUACAGGGAAGAACUGAGGUAGAACAAUUGCAUAAGAUCUUUAAGUUAUGUGGCUCCCCCGCUGAUGACUAUUGGAAGAAGUCAAGGUUGCCUCAUGCAACAAUAUUUAAACCUCACUGUCCUUAUCUAAGUACCCUUCGAGAUGUUUUUAAAGAGGUGCCGGAACAUGCAUUCAGUUUACUAGAAACUCUUCUGUCGGUGGAGCCAUACAAGCGUGGUACUGCAUCAUGUGCCCUUACAUCCGAGUUUUUCAAGACAAAACCUUAUGCAUGCGAACCUAUAAGCUUGCCUCAGUAUGCACCCAACAAGGAGAUGGAUGCGAAGUUACGAGAAGAGUUACACAGAAGAAAGGCCAGUAGCAGAGGGCAUGGGCCAGAAGCAUCAAAGAAGUCAUCAAGGCUAAACAGAGCAGCAAGAGAACAAAGUGCAGUCAACAGGCAAACCGAAAACAAAGAGGAGUCCAAAACCAAACCAAAGGUAACCAAGGAUGGUGCAAUGCAGGUUCAUACAAAGGUUAAUGGUGAUGCUAGGCUAUUCACAGACACACAACUGGUUCCCGGGGCCCAAGUUAAAGAAAGGGCUCGUCAUGCUAAGAAUGAUUCACGGGAGGAAAUCCCUUUCUCCGGGCCCUUGAUUGUUUCGUCAUCCAGUGGCUUUGCAUGGGCCAAAAAACCGGAGGGUCGUUCUUUUACCAGAUCACGGAACAGAUCUAGUUCAAGAGGCGAAUUCACUGACGUAGAUUGGGACAACAAGCCACAAGCUAAAGAGAACAUUGGAUUGGAGGAACAACAUAACAGAGACGUGCAUGUAGCACGUGUCAACUCCAAGGUCCAAGAGCCUCAGGAGGUCGCAAAGCGUGCAGUUCUGAAGAAGUGGUCACAGUUAGAGCGUCCAGAUUCAUUUGAUUCUCGCGACACUUACCACUCUCAGAAUUUUUCGAAUGCAAUAUAUCUUGGGGAUGCUCUCUCAUCGAAAAAUAGCAUGAAGGAUGACCACUAUCAAGGAGGAGAAAGGGUUGAAUAUUCAGGCCCUUUAUUGUCCCAGUCCCACAAGGUUGAUGAACUGUUAGAGAAACAUGAGCGUCACAUUCGGCAAGUGGUCCGAAAAUCGUGGUUCAGGAGAGGAAUAAAGUGA